rnacentral:rRNA from 1 species
CAAGUCGAGCGCUGAUUACGGGGUAGCAAUAUCUCGUAGUCGGAGCGGCGCAAGGGUGCGUAACACGUGGGUAAUCUGCCAUGAAGUUCGGGAUAACUUGCUGAAAGGCGAGCUAAUACCGGAUGUGACCGUCGGGAGGCAUCUCCUGAUCGUUAAAGUUGGGGACCGUAAGGCCUGACGCUUCAUGAUGAGCCCGCGGCCUAUCAGCUAGUUGGUGAGGUAACGGCUCACCAAGGCUAAGACGGGUAGCUGGUCUGAGAGGACGACCAGCCACACUGGAACUGAGACACGGUCCAGACACCUACGGGUGGCAGCAGUCGAGAAUUUUUCACAAUGGGCGCAAGCCUGAUGGAGCGACGCCGCGUGGGGGAUGAAUGGCUUCGGCCCGUAAACCCCUGUCAUUCGCGAUCAAACCUCGCUAUUUAAAAGAUGGCGAGCUGAUAGUAGCGGAAGAGGAAGGGACGGCUAACUCUGUGCCAGCAGCCGCGGUAAUACAGAGGUCCCAAGCGUUGUUCGGAUUCACUGGGCGUAAAGGGUGCGUAGGUGGUGAGGUAAGUCGGAUGUGAAAGCUCGGAGCUCAACUCCGAAAUGGCAUUGGAAACUACCUUGCUCGAGGGUUGGAGGGGGGACUGGAAUUCUCGGUGUAGCAGUGAAAUGCGUAGAUAUCGAGAGGAACACCAGUGGCGAAGGCGAGUCCCUGGACAACUCCUGACACUGAGGCACGAAAGCUAGGGGAGCAAACAGGAUUAGAUACCCUGGUAGUCCUAGCCGUAAACGGUGCACGUUUGCUGUAAAAGGAAUCGACCCCUUUUGUGGCGGAGCCAACGCGUUAAACGUGCCGCCUGGGAAGUACGGUCGCAAGAUUAAAACUCAAAGAAUUGACGGGGGCCUGCACAAGC